GCCUCGCGAGGCGUGAUUCCGUCGCGAGCUCGGCUCUGCCCGCUGCGCGUCCUCAUCAGAGGCGGGGUCUCAAAUUAUCUACUCUCACCUUCCGGUGCCUUCCCCGCCCCCACGCCGGCCCCGCCUCCUGACUGUCUCAAACCAUUUCGAGGAGCACCUGACGUGGUUGGAGAGUGGGUAUACCCCUAAAAACAGUAAAUAGUCUGAAAUGGCUUUUCCUUGGUAAUCUAAUUCCAGCCCCUCCUCUUCCUCUAAUCUAGACCUCCGGAGGGGGCAAAGGGCAGGUGGGGCUUUACCCGGAGGGUAUAUUCCUCCACUUUAAACACAUCUGCUGAAAAUGACUUCCUCAGCCCUCCUACCCCUUAGCACAUGCUAAUCUCACUCCCUAGCCCUAUAGCCAGGAAAGAGUUAUAACCAACCUCUCCCCAUAGAGGCAUAAAAAUUCCUUUGGACACCAAACUAGCCCUGGCCACCUUCACAUUUCUCCCGCAUUUGCAAAUUCAGUUUUUUGAAAGACCUUAAUCACUUCUGUGAAGUUGCUAUGAACUUUCACAGUUGAGUAAAACCCCGAGCACUUUGUAUAUAACUGUUAACCUAACACCUCACUGAAUAUUGUACUGUAGUUGUUUAUGUGAACUCCUUGAGAUUAGGGACCAUAUGUCUUCCAGUUCUCAAGCAUACCUAGCACAAAAUGGGUACAAGGUUGGUUUCAGCAAAUUUGACAAAACGGGUGAGUUUAAAGCCUAUAUCUCUAAUCAUUGGAAAAUGAACAAUUUAAUGGAUAGCAUUGGGAAAUUUAACUCUCUCACACACACACACACACAAAAAAAAAAAACCUAGAUCUCUACUUAUUCUACAUAAGAAGGUGGACUGCAAAUAAGAAGGUAAAACUAUAAAGCUAAUAUAAAA